GGGAUAGCACAGGGAUGGACCUAUGGCGCAUUAGCUGGUUGGCGGGGCAACGGCCCACCAAGGCAUCGAUGCGUAGCCGGCCUGAGAGGGCGGACGGCCACAUUGGGACUGAGACACGGCCCAGACUCCUACGGGAGGCAGCAGUAGGGAAUUUUCGGCAAUGGGGGAAACCCUGACCGAGCAACGCCGCGUGAGCGAAGAAGGCCUUCGGGUCGUAAAGCUCUGUUGUAAAGGAAGAACGUCGCAUGCAGGAAAUGGUGUGCGAGUGACGGUACUUUACCAGAAAGCCACGGCUAACUACGUGCCAGCAGCCGCGGUAAUACGUAGGUGGCGAGCGUUAUCCGGAAUCAUUGGGCGUAAAGAGGGAGCAGGCGGCCGCAAGGGUCUGUGGUGAAAGACCGAAGCUAAACUUCGGUAAGCCAUGGAAACCGGGCGGCUAGAGUGCGGAAGAGGAUCGUGGAAUUCCAUGUGUAGCGGUGAAAUGCGUAGAUAUAUGGAGGAACACCAGUGGCGAAGGCGACGGUCUGGGCCGCAACUGACGCUCAUUCCCGAAAGCGUGGGGAGCAAAUAGGAUUAGAUACCCUAGUAGUCCACGCCGUAAACGAUGGUCACUAAGUGUCGGGGGUCAAACCCCGGUGCUGCAGUCAACGCAAUAAGUGACCCGCCUGAGUAGUACGUUCGCAAGAAUGCAACUCAAA
rnacentral:rRNA from 1 species